UUACAUUUUUUUCUUUUGUGUUUGACAUUAUAACAUAGUUUUAUGUUCCACUUUUCUUGAUUCUGCUAUAAGUCUUUUCCAUUACGGAUACGGUACAUAUGUUAUUAUAUAUAUUUUUUUAUUUGUAGCUUUUGUUUUAGGUAUCAAAAUUGCUCAUCUACACGCUUUUUUUAUAUAAUUUCCUUAGUAUAUAUUAUUUUCGUGGUCAACUGUAUACACAUUCAAAACCAAAUCUAGAAUCUGUAUAGGUUUUUUUAAUAUUUGUAUUGUACGUACUGAGAUUUUC
rnacentral:lncRNA from 1 species